ensembl:lncRNA novel transcript
AGGGAGGCCAUUACAUUAAUGCCUUCAGCUUUCCGCACAGCCCAUAUUGCUUUGGUGGACGCUUUGAAAUGUCUGGUCGUUAUAACUCAGUCACUCAAGACACCUCACUUAAAAAUUCUAGUUAUGGAAUAAUUGUGAUGCCAUAGGAAGAAAAUUAAGCAAGCUGUCUACUCUUGGGAAAUGUUAACAAAUGCCUGUGCAUACUGUGAAGAGUCCACGGGGAAGAAAAUGAGCCACACAAGAUGGUCCCACCUAUAUUUAUUAUACACUGAUCACUAUGAAGACAUAAAGAUUUGUUAAAAGUGGCCUUUGAAGAGCAUGUAAUUGUGUCCAGAAUUGGCGGGUUCUUGGUCUCACUGACUUCAAGAAUGAAGCCGCAGACCCUCACGGCUAAGACAUCCAAGGUCAAAGGGCCUACAUCUGGUGAAGGUCUUGCUGCUUUAUCCCAUGGUGGAAGGCAGAUGGGUUCACAGAAAAUAGAAAUUCUUUACACAGUCUUCUGAUCAAUAGAAUCAAAGCCCUUUUUCUGUAAAUACUGGCUAGAGAGUUGCUAACUUCCAUAAUGGAGAAAUGGAAAAAGCAGUUUCUUUCUCCAAUAAAACCACAAAAGCCAUGGUUUUAAAAGAAACUAUAGAGGAUUUCUUGUGUGGAGUCCUUAGCUUUGUGACUGCUGAGAUUUAAGACAUAGGAAAUCAUGACUUCCUCGUGGCAGCCUCAUGAUUCUGAGAUCACAGCACGUGCAUUUGGUACAGCCAGCAGAGGUGGUGGUGUCUUCUCGAAUUCCUGACCUUCUUUCCAUGGCAGAAGAAGCAACCCUUUUGCUAACUGAGGUCUAUGGUGGUGUUCCUGGAAUCUCCAUCUCUAACCUAUUUACCUAAUCCUUCCAAAAAUCUUAUAUUGAAUCUUUUCAUGUUUAAAUUAUUUAGAAUGGUUUGUGGUAUCUGUAAACACUGACCAAUGCUUCCCACAAUAAAAUCAGCAGUAUGGAAAGAAAGAAA